rnacentral:rRNA from 1 species
GGAAGUAAAAGUCGUAACAAGGUCUCCGUUGGUGAACCAGCGGAGGGAUCAUUACUGAGUUUACGCUCUAUAACCCUUUGUGAACAUACCUAUAACUGUUGCUUCGGCGGGUAGGGUCUCCGUGACCCUCCCGGCCUCCCGCCCCCGGGCGGGUCGGCGCCCGCCGGAGGAUAACCAAACUCUGAUUUAACGACGUUUCUUCUGAGUGGUACAAGCAAAUAAUCAAAACUUUUAACAACGGAUCUCUUGGUUCUGGCAUCGAUGAAGAACGCAGCGAAAUGCGAUAAGUAAUGUGAAUUGCAGAAUUCAGUGAAUCAUCGAAUCUUUGAACGCACAUUGCGCCCGCCAGCAUUCUGGCGGGCAUGCCUGUUCGAGCGUCAUUUCAACCCUCAAGCUCUGCUUGGUGUUGGGGCCCUACAGCUGAUGUAGGCCCUCAAAGGUAGUGGCGGACCCUCCCGGAGCCUCCUUUGCGUAGUAACUUUACGUCUCGCACUGGGAUCCGGAGGGACUCUUGCCGUAAAACCCCCCAAUUUUCCAAAGGUUGACCUCGGAUCAGGUAGGAAUACCCGCUGAACUUAAGCAUAUCAAUAAGCGGAGGA